rnacentral:rRNA from 1 species
UGGUUCAGACAUAAAAGGUGGCUUCGGCUACCACUUACAGAUGGACCCGCGGCGCAUUAGCUAGUUGGUGAGGUAACGGCUCACCAAGGCAACGAUGCGUAGCCGACCUGAGAGGGUGAUCGGCCACACUGGGACUGAGACACGGCCCAGACUCCUACGGGAGGCAGCAGUAGGGAAUCUUCCGCAAUGGACGAAAGUCUGACGGAGCAACGCCGCGUGAGUGAUGAAGGUUUUCGGAUCGUAAAGCUCUGUUGUUAGGGAAGAACAAGUGCCGUUCAAAUAGGGCGGCACCUUGACGGUACCUAACCAGAAAGCCACGGCUAACUACGUGCCAGCAGCCGCGGUAAUACGUAGGUGGCAAGCGUUGUCCGGAAUUAUUGGGCGUAAAGGGCUCGCAGGCGGUUUCUUAAGUCUGAUGUGAAAGCCCCCGGCUCAACCGGGGAGGGUCAUUGGAAACUGGGGAACUUGAGUGCAGAAGAGGAGAGUGGAAUUCCACGUGUAGCGGUGAAAUGCGUAGAGAUGUGGAGGAACACCAGUGGCGAAGGCGACUCUCUGGUCUGUAACUGACGCUGAGGAGCGAAAGCGUGGGGAGCGAACAGGAUUAGAUACCCUGGUAGUCCACGCCGUAAACGAUGAGUGCUAAGUGUUAGGGGGUUUCCGCCCCUUAGUGCUGCAGCUAACGCAUUAAGCACUCCGCCUGGGGAGUACGGUCGCAAGACUGAAACUCAAAGGAAUUGACGGGGG